AAAGUCAGAGAUGAUUCAAUUGUCAUGUUCCUUUCGCCCUCUCUUCUUCUGCCUGCUUGGAAUGAACAUGUGAGAUUGGUGGUAUCGCAGCCAUCUUGGGACAUGGGGCAACCAUGAGGAUUAAAGCACCAUGCUAAGAAUGACAGAAUAGAAAACUAGAAGGAGCCUGUGUUCCUGAUGGUAACAUAGAACCCCAGAGCCACCUGUGGGCAGUCUACUUCUUUACUUUCAAAUUAUUUGAGAAAAAAGAGGAUGGGAAACUGUGGUUAUUUUUCCUGAGCCCACCUGACUGAUGAAUGGCCCAGGAGAGCAACUGGAGGAGGGGCCGGCUGGAGCAAAACCUGGCCGUGGGUGAACCACAGACUGAGUCACAGGGAGCUGACGUCAGGCCAGGGUUUGACACCUUGAUCACCAUGGAUCUCCAGGAAAAGGGUAGAGCAUUGCUUGGGACACUCCCUGGAGAUUGGUACCCAUUGCCUUCAGAAAAACGUCCAAAGGCCUCAGUGCAGCUCUGCAGAUCUGCUGUGAUCUGGCCCUGUUGUCUCCAGCUGCAUUUCUUUCAUGGUGCUUCCUUUCAUGCUUCACCUCAGCCAGACGUCCUUUCCCCCAUGCUUAUGGAAAUCAUACUUGGCCUUCGAGAUCCAGACCACGCCCCAGUGCCUCCGCCUUUCCAGACACAAUUUGUUCCUUCCACCAUCAUCCUAUUCCCUUGGCCUGCAGCUUGACCUUAGCGGCCACUUCAUGCUACCUCGCAUCUCAGUUUGGCUGGUUACACGUUUCUCUCCCGUGCACUGUAAUUUCCUUGAGGAUGGGCAUGCUGUGACCCUUAGUAUCCUCAUGGUUCCACACACCCCAGUAAGGCCCUCCUUCCCUGGCCACCCUGUUGCAAACCGUAUUCACACCACACUCCCUACGCUUCACCCUGAUUUAUUUUCUCCGUAGCACGUGUCCAUCUAACAUACAUCCACUGUACUUAUUUGUCUUGCCUGUCCCGCCCCUGCCCCUGCCUCUGGAAUGAAAGUGACACGAAGGCAGGGAUUGUUUGUGCUGUUCCCUGCUGGACCUCCAGCACCUAGAACGGUGCUUGGCAGACGAUGGAUGCUCAAUAAAUGAAUGAAUGAA